AGUGAACGCUGGCGGCGUGCUUAACACAUGCAAGUCGAACGAGAGAAUUUGGGAGAAAACUUCGGUUGGAACCUAGAGGAUCUAGUGGCGGACGGGUGAGUAACGCGUGGGAAACCUGCCUUAUACAAGGGGAUAGCCUCGUGAAAACGGGAUUAAAACCCUAUAAAGCUAUAGUAACGCAUGUUACAGUAGUCAAAACUCCGGUGGUAUAAAGCGAUGGUCCCGCGUCCCAUUAGCUAGUUGGUAGAGGUAACGGCUCACCAAGGCGACGAUGGGUAGCCGGCCUGAGGGGGUGAACGGCCACACUGGAACGGAAAACCGGUCCAGCCUCCUACGGGAGGAAGCGGGGGGGAAUAUGGCAAAAUGGGGGAAACCCUGAUGCAGCGACCCCGCGUGGGCAAAGAAGGCUUUGGGGUCGUAAAGCUCUGUCCUUAGGGAAGAAAAUGACGGUACCAAAGGAGGAAGCCCCGGCUAACUACGUGCCAGCCGCCGCGGUAA
rnacentral:rRNA from 1 species